rnacentral:rRNA from 1 species
AAUAUUGGACACUGGGGGCAACCCUGAUCCAGCCAUGCCGCGUGUGAAGAAGGUCUUCGCAUUGUAAAGCACACUAAGUUGGUAGGAAGGGCUUUAGGUUAAUACCCUGACGUUUUGACGUUACCUACAGAAUAAGCACCGGCUAACUCUUUGCCAGCAGCCGCGGUAAUACAGAGGGUGCAAGCGUUAAUCGGAAUUACUGGGCGUAAAGCGCGCGUAGGUGGUUGAGUAAGAUGGGUGUGAAAUCCCCGGGCUUAACCUGGGAACUGCUUUCAUAACUGCUGAGCUAGAGUACGGUAGAGGGUAGUGGAAUUUCCUGUGUAGCGGUGAAAUGCGUAGAUAUGGGAAGGAACACCAGUGGCGAAGGCGACUACCUGGACUGAUACUGACACUGAGGUGCGAAAGCGUGGGGAGCAAAC